ensembl:lncRNA
GUUACCUUCAAAAAAGUCUGUUAAACAGUCAAUCUAAACUUAAUAUUUAUGUUUCAUAAUUUAUUCAUACCAUUGUCUCUAUACGUCUCUCUUCACAGCUACCAUUAUAGCAUUCCUAUAAAACUCACGAGCUCGGGUUUUCACCGUGACUGCUACUGCUGCUGAAGAUGAUGAUGAAGAUAAUGAAAAUAGCUCCAACCUGCACCACAGUGACAGGAUUGUGAUUAUGUACAUAAUAGAGUGACUAUGCCCUGCAUCAGACUACUGCUCUACUGGUGGCCCAGUGCAGGACCGGGUGAGAGAGAGGUGGGAAUGGGGUCACAGGCUGCAUGGAGAGAUCUCAUUUGCACUGCAUCAUUUUCCUUUUCAUGGUCAAUUUCUCAUCUGCUUUCCACUCCGCUGAAUCUGGCCGGUUCUGUUCUGUCCUCAGUACCGCUUCUAGUCCAUGUAGAAAAUCAAGUGCUAUUUUUGCCUGUUAAGCAUAGACUGCUAUCCUUUUCUCAUCUUUGCGAAUGUCUCCUAAAGCGGUGCCAUGUUGAGCUCCAAAUAUUUUUUUAAAAGAGCAGCAUGCAGCAGGAGCUUGUUCAUCAGGUAAAGCUGACUGGAAUGUUUCUCAGACAUUGGCAUGGGCAUGCUGUUUUUUUUAUAUUAUUUUAUUUUGAUUAUUAUUGUUAUUGUCUAAUUUUUGCCUCUGCAUAAUCACUACUGAUACUGAUAUUGUGUGACAUAAAAACAUACAUUUCUAUAUAAAACUACAGAGUAAACAUUUUCAUCAAUAUCAUUCCCAGUCUGUCAACAAAAUGGAAAAAAAAGAUUGAGUUUUAGUCAGCUAGUAUACAUUCUUUAAAUAGAAAUUGCCUUACUUAACCCUCAAACAGGUGAUUCAUCUAGCCAGCCAAGUGGCCCCAGUGUUCAUCAAACGUGAUUAACUGUGGUGUUAUAAACUUCAUAUGUCCUGUCUUUAGUGAGAAAAACUCCUUUAUUGAGUCUCGGUUAUUUCUGUGCAAGAGACCGUCACCUUAAUUAUAUACAGCACAGAAAACAUUAUAUACAACAAACUGUGAGUUCUUUCUGUAACAUGCUCACUUGAGUAUAAAAUGGUGUCUUGGUCCUUGGUUAAUGUGUUUGGACCCUAGCUCUUUGAAGAAUGCCACUUUAAGGUUUAACAUCUGCCUAAAAUAUGCAAGCCUUCCUGUUCAAAUCCAUGCCACUACACAAAUUGUCAUAUAUGGUGAUAAUUUUCAUUUCGACCCGAAGCUAAUGUGUUGUAAAAUAUAUUUAUUUUUUCUCCAAACAUAAAGAUUAGUCUAUAUAGAUCAUCUCUAUAUACGCAUAAGCCUAAACCUGACACUGUCUUUGUACCUCAGUAAUGCCAAAUUCACUGAUCAUGUGUCCUUAUGUAAAAUGUAGAUAUCACCGAGAAUCACUGAGAAAGGAUUAAAGUGCAUGUGGUUGCUUUACUGUAUGGAACAGUGGCAAUUACAGAGGAUGUGAGGUAGCUGAAGGUAUAAAUGUUGAGUAAAUAUUCAAGUAUAUAUGCUUAUUUAUUUGAAAGAAAAAAAAAGAUUGUUUUUAUUUGUCCCCAGUGACCAAGCCAUGAACAGAACUUUCUAUUCAUUUUUGUUGGUAACAAGUGAAAAUGAGGAUUAUGAAUCAGUCUACUAAACCCUUAAUUCCUUUAGUAUGUCAUUAUGAGUGAGAUAUACCGUAAAUGUGUGGGGUCCCGGGAGUUUAAAGGGAGUUUUUAUAUACAUCUCCCUGACUGACCUUCAUAUCAGUCUUGCUCUAUAAUGCAGGUCAUUAGUGUGUGAAGAUGAAUGACAAUUUCAAAGUUCAUAGAAAUACUUUGAAUGAAAUGUAUAAAAGUGAGAAAAAUAAAAUCUUUUUUUCUUUCUCUCUUUUUUUUUUGCUGAAACAAAUGAAUUGGCUUUGUCAACCCUGCUUAGUGCUUUUGUGUCCCUCUGUGGUCAGUUCUGGUCUUUUUAAGCUAGAAGCAUCCAUGUUGUAGUUUCAGUACAAAAGUCAAAUUAGGUAACAAAAAAUCGAGCAGGAAAUGUGUGCUGCUCAAAACAGGGUACAGAUCAAGCAUCGCUAUGACUGUUAGUGUGACCUCUUCAUGCUUUGGUGGGCUCAUUUGUGUAAAUACAGUUGUUUUGUACAUAGUCCUACUGCCCAAAAAAAAUGAAAUAAAGAGAUUUGGGUGGAAUAUUUCUCUGAG